rnacentral:lncRNA from 1 species
AUAUAUAAUAUCACAAAUUACUGUAUAAAUGCUUUCCUUUUGACAGGUGUCCUGAUUGUUCCUUAGGUGAUCUUCGGGGACUGUCAACAGAUUUGAGAACUGGAGGUACCACCAGCAAAUGAGUUCAUCUCAGAGGCACUUGAUCUGAGUGAAGAAAAUGAUGAUGAAUCCUACUGGAUAUCAUGUUAUCUCAGGGUUGCACUUUUCCUGUCAUCAAGCUUUAGAACAGCUUUUUCCUCCUGUUUCCAAGCAGAAAGAACAAACACAGGAGUGGGAAAUGCAUGCCACCAAGAAGAGGUCAAUCAGGUGAUAUGUUUGUCUAUCGUCUGGAUCUUUGGCUGCCUCUGUGAGUUGGAAAGAACAUAAGAAAAUUGAGUUCUUGAAGAUAUAUGCUAUAAAAUAUUAAAGAAUUCUUGCAUUAAUAUUGUCUGUUCCUGCUUACUUUACAAAUAGAAGUGAAGCACAAAUCAGUUCUCCACUGAUGUAAGAAAGGCAUAACAAUAUGAUAUCUAACAGAAUUGACUAACCUAUCUGAAGUUUUAAGCUAAGAAAUUUAAGUAUGAAAUCCUUUGAAACUUUUUUGAGAUAUUGUACAUGAUUAAAAACCAAAUAAAUGAAACAUACAUAGACA